AUACGGAGGAUCCGAGCGUUAUCCGGAUUUAUUGGGUUUAAAGGGUGCGUAGGUGGUUUGAUAAGUCAGCGGUGAAAGUUUGCAGCUUAACUGUAAACAUGCCGUUGAAACUGUCGGACUUGAGUGUAAAUGAGGUAGGCGGAAUGUGUGGUGUAGCGGUGAAAUGCAUAGAUAUCACGCAGAACUCCGAUUGCGAAGGCAGCUUACUAAGCUACAACUGACACUGAAGCACGAAAGCGUGGGGAUCAAACAGGAUUAGAUACCCUGGUAGUCCACGCAGUAAACGAUGAUUACUAGCUGUUUGCGAUACACAGUAAGCGGCACAGCGAAAGCGUUAAGUAAUCCACCUGGGGAGUACGCCGGCAACGGUGAAACUUAAAGGAAUUGACGGGG
rnacentral:rRNA from 1 species